rnacentral:rRNA from 1 species
GAUGAACGCUAGCUACAGGCUUAACACAUGCAAGUCGAGGGGAAACGACAUCGAAAGCUUGCUUUUGAUGGGCGUCGACUGGCGCACGGGUGAGUAACGCGUAUCCAACCUGCCCACCACUUGGAGAUAACCUUGCGAAAGUAAGACUAAUACCCAAUGAUGUCUCUAGAAGACAUCUGAAAGAGAUUAAAGAUUUAUCGGUGAUGGAUGGGGAUGCGUCUGAUUAGCUCGUUGGCGGGGUAACGGCUCACCAAGGCGACGAUCAGUAGGGGUUCUGAGAGGAAGGUCCCCCACAUUGGAACUGAGACACAGUCCAAACUCCUACGGAAGGCAGCAGUGAGGAAUGUUAGUCAAUGGACGAGAGUCUGAACCAGCCAAGUAGCGUGCCGGAUGACGGCCCUAUGCGUUGUAAACUGCUUUUAUAAGGGAAUAAAGUGAGUCUCGUGAGACUUUUUGCAUGUACCUUAUGAAUAAGGACCGGCUAAUUCCGUG